rnacentral:rRNA from 1 species
UACGUAGGGGGCAAGCGUUGUCCGGAAUCAUUGGGCGUAAAGCGCGUGUAGGCGGCUUGGUAAGUCUGCUCUGAAAGCCCGGGGCUCAACCCCGGGAGGCGGGUGGAUACUGCCGAGCUCGAGUCCGGAAGAGGCGAGUGGAAUUCCUGGUGUAGCGGUGAAAUGCGCCAGAUAUCAGGAGGAACACCGGUGCGAAGGCGGCUUGCUGGGCCAGUUCUGACGCUGAGGAGCGAAAGCGUGGGGAGCAAACAGG